CAGUCGCGCGGUAAUACGGGGGGGGCGAGCGUCGUCCGAAGUUACUGGGCGUAAAGCGCGUGUAGGCGGGUUGUUAAGUCCGCUGUGAAAGCCCGGUGCUCAACGCCGGAGGGUCGGUGGAUACUGGCAGUCUUGAAGUGGCUAGGGGGAAAUGGAAUUACCGGUGUAGCGGUGAAAUGCGUAGAUAUCGGUAGGAACACCAGUGGCGAAGGCGGUUUCCUGGAGCUAACUUGACGCUGAGACGCGAAAGCUGGGGGAGCAAACGGGAUUAGAUACCCGCGUAGUCCCUGUCUCUUAUACA
rnacentral:rRNA from 1 species